AACAAGCAAUAUAAUAUAACUUGGUGACUUUCUAUGUAAUCUUAUACUGUGGGUAUUCUGACAUCACACUUCUGACUGUGGAAUUACAGUGCAGCACUCCAUACCUGUAUGUUGAGCUUGCAUCAAAGCUGUGUGGUUUUCGGUUUUGAAGCUUUGUCUCGUUCAGAGACAACGAGCAACUUACUGUGGUUCUUAGCUGAGGAUUUCCAGACCCGAUUCCUCUGUGCAUACGACUCGGCUUGGGUGGAUUUUUCUUAGUUCCGAUGUAACGAAGAUAUUCUUAGCUGAGCACUGUGGGGAAGAGGGAAUGUGAUCUUGGACUCACUCGACUAGUCGACUAGGUGCUCUCAGUGCCUAGAAAAGAACUUGUUUAAACUUUCUGUAGUGAGCAAGUGGCCCAUCUGCAGCUCAUCCCUGUGUAGAGUCUUGGCUCGGUAGGAAUGCGUUAAUAACCGCUGCUCUUGCCUCGUGUGCGCUGUGUGAGUCACCUCAAACUCCUGGUACAGGCAGCUCUGACACUGAUCUGGAAUAUUUUUGAGAACAUAAAUGAGUGCUUGAAUUAAUAUCCCAUGAAUAGUUUCAUAAAGCUUAUAUUGGACUUUGCAGUUGUCUUUAUUUUAGCCUUUGAUUGGCAAGCCUGAUACAUUCCUGUGCUUUAAUUGACAGCGAUGAGAUUCUGUUACUUCUGCCUGGUAGAGUCAUCCCAGUAGUGUAAUGCUCAACUUCAUUUUUCAUCAGUCUUGGGGAUGUAAUUCUAAACUCUUCAUUACUACAACUACUGACUGCAGUGUUCCAGGAUUAACAUGCUUACCUUGCCAGACAUCCAGACAUGCUGAUCUCCAGCUCUUUUGCAUUAUUCUUGAACCUGAAUUUCAAGGUCCCUUGUUCCUGCAUGUAGUCUGGCUCUUGUCUGAUACUCAGUUUAUUUUGCAGGUGUUGUAAUGUGUUUUCCCACUUGUUCUGCAAAGUUUUGCUUUGCAUACUUGUUUCUGGUAUUAUUGUCACUUUUGGACCCUUCUGUGUUACCUUCCAGGCAGGACUCUUGCUGGUGAACAGGGAUCUGCUGGACAGCCUUGCCCUCUGCUGUAGCCACCUUUCCAUGUUCCACUGGACACUUGAAGUAGCAGCUGCACCUUGAGAUCAUGACAACAGGUCUUUGGUUACACCCCAGUGAGUGUAGCCAACACCAGCUGGUCACACAGUGACACCUUGUCACAAAGUCAGUCUAACUUUCUGUGAUGGCUUACCUUUACCUGUGACUGGGAUCCACUCCAUGAUUGCUCACCCUUACUUGGAACUGGGAUCCAGUAGAAAACCUGGCAGCCAGCGUGCUGUCCUGUAGCAAAACUGAAUUAGUGAUCUUAAACUAGUGCUCAGAUCUGACUUCAGUUUUUCUAGUUAUCCAGUUCUGGAUGCUUGACUUUCAGGAAUGUCAUGGAGGGGUUACUGGCACAUCUGCCUCGUUCUAUGUACUUGAACUUAGCACGUUUUUGACACUCUUGGAGCGAGCAAUUUGUGACUGAACCGUGGGCUCAGACCAGCUCUGGCUGCAGUAAUGAAACUUGGUGUGGUAGCGAACUUUAAAUAGUCAUGUCUGCUCUAAGUCAGUCUGUAACAAGUGGGUACAAGGAAUGCCAUUCAAGUGCUUGCAUUGUGUUUCAUCUUGGUUUUAUCUGUGUGUGAAAAACACUUUUUCUCAAAAGCUUACCUGAAGCUCAGAAGUGUGGUGUCAGAAUACAUUGUACUGCUAGGCCCUCCGAGCAGACCUGGUGCUGGCAGGAGAGCACAGCACAGCGUGGAUGGGGCUUUACUGUAACAUUAAGCAUACAAAGUGUUGAUUUGCUUGCAGUUCUCCCCAUAGCUAAACACUGAGGCCUGUGAGUAGUUUAGGACUCGAGCAGUAAUGGGGUUGCAUGUCUCUGUUAAUCAUUGCCAGCUGCAGUGACAUGAUCAGGAAGGCCAGUGUUCUGUUCCAUUAUGUUCAGUGAGGCUGAGCAUGUUGGGAAGGAUUCAUCCAAGUAUAGUGCUCUGGGGAAUCACUUGGCUUCUUCCACUACUAGCAACUUUGGAAUCAGCUAAUUAGCUUCAGAUUUUUUUUCUCUCUCCAUACCAGCUAGUGGGGCUGUUAAAUAGCUGCUGCCUGGCAAAGGAAAAAACGGGAGGAUUGGCCUUCUCCCAGCUGUGUCAUUGCUGCUAGGUAAUGAUUGACACGUUAGGACUUGGCUGUGCAAUCCCGCAGUGGUCUGUGAAUACCCCAUCUCUAUACAUGUUGCUUCUGAACACCAGUACUGAAGAGCUAACUGGGGAGGGCUGGGAGGAGCGUGGCCAGUAGGGCAUCUGCAGUGUUUAAAGGAUGCACAAAGAUAUAGUAUCCCUUAUGCAUGGGGUUUGUUGCUAUGGCAGAGAAAACAAUAUGUGCAUAACUCUCCUGCUCCUGAGGGCCAUGAGAAAACCCAGGUGGUGGGUUGGACACUAAUCCUGAACUUGUCCCUGCCUGGUCAGAUCACACCGUGCCCGAGGUGUGAUCUGCUUCCCAGCUGGAGCUGUACAGAGCCUUGGACCACAUCCCCAGCUCUCACCAUUGCAGGCUGCCCUCAGCUGUAGUAAAGGGGGGUCUCGAGAAGGGAAAAACCUUGCUGAGGAUAAAAGCAGUGACAGUGCCAAUCUUAGUGUCUGCCUUUGGCUUCUGAAGCACUUGUAGGACUGUUGAACCCAAGGGCUCCUACAGUCCAGGGCCACUGCACUCCCUCAUGAAGGGGAAUAGAGGGCAUUGCUGCAGGACACAAAUAGGGUCAAAUAGUUGAAGUAGCUGACAAAAAAUUAAUGCCUUCACAUAAGGGAUAAUAUACCUCUGGCUGCAAUCAAACCUCACUGUGCUCAGAUGGGGGGUUAUGGUUGGUGCUCACACAAGGUGCAGUUCUUCAGGCAACUACCUGCAUAUUCCUUCAGCUCUUGAUGAGUGUUAAGGCCAGCCUAUUUCUGCCCCUUAUUCUUCCACUUAAUGGUUUGGAAUAACUGAUAAAUUACCCCUCAUAACUAAUCAGUCCAUGUAUCUUAAACCCUUAUUUUUAAGUUAGUUUUGAAAUGGUCCAGAUUUGCUGUGUAUGACUCUAAUAACUUCAGUUGUUAUCCUUUAGGUGAAGAUGAAAGCUGAGUGACACCGGAGUGCUCAUCCAUGGGAAUCGAGGAGACGAGCAUGAGCACAUCCAGCACGGUGCCCAGUGGUGUGUGGAGGGACCAAGGGAACAGGUGGACAAAAGGAGAAGUCUGAUUGCACUGAAGAGGAGCCAGGAAGAUACAAAUCUUAAAAAUAAAACAUUUUACUAUUUUUAUAAA